rnacentral:piRNA from 1 species
GUCUUUGGUGUAUGUGUAAUGUAG